rnacentral:rRNA from 1 species
AGGACGAACGCUGGCGGCGUGCUUAACACAUGCAAGUCGAACGGUGAUGGUGGGAGCUUGCUCCUACCGGAUCAGUGGCGAACGGGUGAGUAACACGUGAGUAACCUGCCCCAGACUCUGGAAUAACCCCGGGAAACCGGUGCUAAUACCGGAUACGAGACGAAGCUGCAUGGCUAUCGUCUGGAAAGUUUUUCGGUCUGGGAUGGACUCGCGGCCUAUCAGCUUGUUGGUGAGGUAAUGGCUCACCAAGGCGACGACGGGUAGCCGGCCUGAGAGGGCGACCGGCCACGACUGGGACUGAGACACGGCCCAGACUCCUACGGGAGGCAGCAGUGGGGAAUAUUGCACAAUGGGCAAAGCCUGAUGCAGCGACGCCGCGUGAGGGAUGACGGCCUUCGGUUGUAAACCUCUUUCAGCAGGAAGAAGCGAAAGUGACGGUACCUGCAGAAGAAGCACGGCUAACUACGUGCCAGCAGCCGC